rnacentral:misc_RNA from 1 species
CAGCUGCGAUAAUUAGUGUGAACCGCAGAAAUUCUGAGCACUAAGAAUUCGAAUGCACAUUGCGCCAUUGGAGUCACAUCCUUUGGCACGCCUGGCUCAGGGUUGUAAAUGAAGACACCAACGAGACGCCUCGCUCGUUGUGAGGAGAAGCUCGGAUCAUUGGCGCGCACCGCCGCCGAUGUUCGGAUGCUAUUGUGGCGAGUGCCCGCCAGUCGAUCGGGAAAUCCCGGCCCGCUCUGGACAUCCUCUUUGGAAACAAACGAUCGUCUUGCUCGAAGGGUUCCCGUCGACUGGUUUUGCAUACAGUGGCACUCAGCGGAGUCGUGUGAUUGAACACGAUUCUUGCGACCUGAGCUCAGGUGUGAUUACCCGCUGAACUUAA